UAAAAUAAAAUGCUCCGCUGGGCGCAGCUUGAUACGACCACAGAGGUCAAACCCUGAACAGUUGGGGCAAGUAUGGACACAACAUUCAAGCUUGAUACAGCUCUGAAUUUGGAUUGUGAUUAAAUAUUUGACACAGCAUAGGUUUCUGACACAGAUUGAAUGUGGUCUAAGAACUUAAAAAUUUUAAAUUGGACAUUCACCUAUUAUGGUCCAAUAUCCAAAAUCUAAAUACAUGGUUAGAUUCAGCAUAUCAAAGAACCCCAAGAAUUCAAUUUUUGAUGAAAUCAAACAAA